rnacentral:rRNA from 1 species
UACGUAGGUGGCAAGCGUUGUUCGGAAUUAUUGGGCGUAAAGGGCGCGUAGGCGGUUUGUUAAGUCAGCUGUGAAAGCCCGGGGCUCAACCCCGGAGAGUCGGCUGAUACUGGCAAACUUGAGUACGGAAGAGGUAGCUGGAAUUCCCGGUGUAGCGGUGAAAUGCGUAGAUAUCUGGAGGAACACCGGUGGCGAAGGCGGCAUCCUGGACCGGUAUUGACGCUGAGGCGCGAAAGCCAGGGGAGCAAACGGG